UUAAUACGAAAGUACGCGUAAAAUCUUACCAGUUCUUGCAUAGCCAAUCCCUCUUAUUUAUUUAGAUAAAAGCUACUCACUACUCCCUCCUUUACUUUUUCCUUUGCUAUGCAGAAAUCUAAGCAAAGGUGGGAUGGUGGGAGAAGAUUUUUCUUUUAAAUUUAAGACUGGAUUGAGUGAUAAUUAUUUAUUAAUAAGUUUUUUUUCCCUUUUCUUGUUUCUUCUCUAUCUAUAUACACACCUUUGCUUUGGCCUCCAUCAUUCAGUAUUGGAGCAAAGGAAAGUAAAGGGUGAUAUAAAAGGAGGAGCAAAAAAUAGUGUAAUAAUAUUUAAUUUAUUUAUAUUAAUUUAUCCGUUUACAGGUGUUGCAUG
rnacentral:rRNA from 1 species